GUGUCAGCCGCCGCGGUAAGACGUAGGGCGCGAGCGUUGUCCGGAUUUAUUGGGCGUAAAGAGCUCGUAGGCGGCUCGUUGCGUCGGCUGUGAAAACCCGCAGCUCAACUGUGGGCUUGCAGCUGAUACGGGCGGGCUGGGAUUCGGUAGGGGAGACUGGAAUUCCUGGUGUAGCGGUGAAAUGCGCAGAUAUCAGGAGGAACACCGGUGGCGAAGGCGGGUCUCUGGGCCGAUAUCGACGCUGAGGAGCGAAAGCGUGGGGAGCGAACAGGAUUAGAAACCCCAGUAGUCC
rnacentral:rRNA from 1 species